CCUACGGGAGGCAGCAGUGAGGAAUAUUGGUCAAUGGCCGGAAGGCUGAACCAGCCAUGCCGCGUGAAGGUCAGUGCCCCUUGGGCGUUUAACUUCUUUUGUGCGGGAGCAAUAAUGGUCACGUGUGGCCAGACGAGAGUACCGUACGAAUAAGCAUCGGCUAACUCCGUGCCAGCAGCCGCGGUAAUGCGGGGGAUGCAAGCGUUAUCCGGAUGUAUUGGGUUUAAAGGGUGCGUAGGCUGGGAGGUAAGUCAGCGGGGAAAUGCCCCCGCUUAACGGGGUGAAGUGCCAUUGAUACUGCCAUGCUGGAGUGCGGAUGCCGUAGGAGGAAUGUGUGGUGUAGCGGUGAAAUGCAUAGAUAUCACGCAGAACACCGAUUGCGAAGGCAUCUCACGAAUCCGCGAUUGACGCUGAUGCACGAAAGCGUGGGUAUCAAACAGGAUUAGAUACCCGUGUAGUC
rnacentral:rRNA from 1 species